UGGCUACGACAGGGGAGCGCCGUCAGGGGCGCUGAGAGUGCAGAAGAAGCUGCAGACCCUCGAACCUGAUGCGGUUAGCACCGUCGAAGGAAGUCGAGACUCUUCACCC
rnacentral:ncRNA from 1 species